GCUGCUAUAGCACAGUCGGUAGUGCGUCGCAUUGGUAGUGCGAAGGUCACCGGUCCGAAUCCGGUUAGCAGCU
rnacentral:tRNA from 1 species